UUUGACAGCAACGUCCUGCAUUUUCUCUGUCAGCAUGGUGUGAAGCAAUGCAAUUAAAAUCUGUGAUUUGUUUUGACUGGUGUGGAAACUGCUAUAAAAGAGUCUUAGGACCUUGGACAGCUGUACCAAGUAGACAGGAGCUAGCUUGGCUGCAGGUCUUCAUGGACAUUCAGGAGCUGACUCUGGAGAAUUCCCUCUUUUGGGUGUCAUUAUCAAUAGUGGACCCUCCCGAGAAAGGUGAUCAUUUAAAAGUCUACAAAUAACAGACGCUGGACAGGGUGUAGAGAAAAGGGAAACCCUCUACACUGUUGUUGGGAAUGUAAAUUGGUACAGCCAAUAUGGAGAACAAUACGGAGAUUCCUUGAAAAACGAAAAAUGGAACUACUAUAUGAUUCAGCAAUCUCACCCCUGAGCAUGUAUUUGGAGAAAACUAUAAUUUGAAAAGAUAGCUGCACCCCAGUGUUCAUAGCAAUACUAUUUACAAUAGCCAAGACAUGGAAGCAACCUGAUUGUGCAUCAAGGGAGGAGUGGAUAAAGAAGAUGUAGUGUACGUAUAUGAUGGAAUAUUACUCAACCAUGGAAAAGAAUAAAAUAAUGCCAAUUGCAGUGACAUGGAUGGACCUAGAGGUUGUCAUACUGAGUGAACUGGGUCAGACAGAGACAAAUGCCACAUGAUAUCACUUAUAUGUGGGAUCUAAAAUAUGACACAAAUGAACUUAUCUGUGAAACAGACAUAAAGAACAGACUUGUGGUCCCAAGAGGAAGGGGAUAGGGGAAGGAUGGAUUGGGAGUUUGAGAUAAGCAGAUGCAAACUAGUAUAUACAGAAUAGAUAGACAACAAGGUACUACUGUAUAGCACAGGGACCUAUGUUCAAUAUCCUGUGAUAGCCUAUAAUGGAAGAGAAUAUGAGAAUGUAUGUAUGUAUAACUGAGUCACUUUGCUGUACAGCAGAAAUUAACACAAUGUUUAAAUUAACUAUACUUCAAUAAAAUAUUUUUGAAAAAAUAGUGUAUCCUCUCAUUUUCAGAAGUUUCAUGGUGUGGAAGGUAAAUCAUGGUUACCUUGCUGAAGGCCGCUCUCUAGACAGGACAGCAUGACAUUGUGGCUGAUGUCACAAUGUGACUCCCUGAGUUAGAAAUCAAGCUCUGCCACUCAGUGGUCACAGAACCCUG
rnacentral:lncRNA from 1 species